CAAGUCGAGCGGACAGAAGGGAGCUUGCUCCCGGAUGUUAGCGGCGGACGGGUGAGUAACACGUGGGUAACCUGCCUGUAAGACUGGGAUAACUCCGGGAAACCGGAGCUAAUACCGGAUAGUUCCUUGAACCGCAUGGUUCAAGGAUGAAAGACGGUUUCGGCUGUCACUUACAGAUGGACCCGCGGCGCAUUAGCUAGUUGGUGAGGUAACGGCUCACCAAGGCGACGAUGCGUAGCCGACCUGAGAGGGUGAUCGGCCACACUGGGACUGAGACACGGCCCAGACUCCUACGGGAGGCAGCAGUAGGGAAUCUUCCGCAAUGGACGAAAGUCUGACGGAGCAACGCCGCGUGAGUGAUGAAGGUUUUCGGAUCGUAAAGCUCUGUUGUUAGGGAAGAACAAGUGCAAGAGUAACUGCUUGCACCUUGACGGUACCUAACCAGAAAGCCACGGCUAACUACGUGCCAGCAGCCGCGGUAAUACGUAGGUGGCAAGCGUUGUCCGGAAUUAUUGGGCGUAAAGGGCUCGCAGGCGGUUUCUUAAGUCUGAUGUGAAAGCCCCCGGCUCAACCGGGGAGGGUCAUUGGAAACUGGGAAACUUGAGUGCAGAAGAGGAGAGUGGAAUUCCACGUGUAGCGGUGAAAUGCGUAGAGAUGUGGAGGAACACCAGUGGCGAAGGCGACUCUCUGGUCUGUAACUGACGCUGA
rnacentral:rRNA from 1 species